GGCUGUUUACGUCAUGGCAUGUUUGUAUGUGAAUAUAGUUGUGUUUACUUAAUCUAUCCAUCUACGUUUUUAUCAUCACUGGUCUCUUUUUAUCCGUCUUUUUCCUUCUUUGCUUUUCCUUCGUGUUUUUUUUUUUCUUCUUUCUCUUCUAACUUUCCCCUUCUUUGUGUUCUUGGCAGUCAGGUAGUUCCUCUCUCUCUCUAGAUCUCUUUCAAAUGAAUUAUUUAGUUAUCCUUGCGGUCUUGAUAGUCUAUUUAUUUUGGUGAUCGAGGCCUC
rnacentral:lncRNA from 1 species